AUUGAACGCUGGCGGCAUGCUUUACACAUGCAAGUCGAACGGUAACAGCACUUCUGUGGCUGACGAGUGGCGAACGGGUGAGUAAUACAUCUGAACGUGCCUAGUAUUGGGGGAUAACUACUCGAAAGAGUAGCUAAUACCGCAUGAGAUCUAAGGAUGAAAGCAGGUGACCUUCGGGCCUUGCGCUACUAGAGCGGCUGAUGGCAGAUUAGGUAGUUGGUGGGAUAAAAGCUUACCAAGCCGACGAUCUGUAGCUGGUCUGAGAGGACGACCAGCCACACUGGGACUGAGACACGGCCCAGACUCCUACGGGAGGCAGCAGUGGGGAAUUUUGGACAAUGGGCGCAAGCCUGAUCCAGCAAUGCCGCGUGCAGGAUGAAGGCCUUCGGGUUGUAAACUGCUUUUGUACGGAACGAAAAGCCCUCUUCUAAUACAGGAGGGUCAUGACGGUACCGUAAGAAUAAGCGCCGGCUAACUACGUG
rnacentral:rRNA from 1 species